AUUGAACGCUGGCGGCAGGCCUAACACAUGCAAGUCGAACGAGUGGCCGACGGGUGAGUCAUGUCUGGGAAACUGCCUGAAGGCGGGGGAUAACUACUGAAAACGGUAGCUACUACCGCAUACCAUACGAUGUUCCCAGAUGGGAUUAGCUGGUUGGUGGGGUAACGGCUCACCAAGGCGACGAUCCCUAGCUGGUCUGAGAGGCUGACCAGCCACACUGGAACUGAGACACGGUCCAGACUCCGACGGUAGGCAGCAGUGGGGAAUAUUGCACAAUGGGCGCAAGCCUGAUGCAGCCAUGCCGCGUGUAUGAAGAAGGCCUUCGGGUUGUAAAGUACUUUCAGCGGGGAGGCGUUACCCGCAGAAGAAGCACCGGCUAACUCAGUGCCAGCAGCCGCGGUAAUAC
rnacentral:rRNA from 1 species